rnacentral:lncRNA from 1 species
UUUUAUGAACUGCAUUUCUCGAGCUUCGAACAUGAUUCGCCAUGGUUUCUCUAUUGCGAGCUGGUGAUUCUACCAUUAGCUCCUUGUUUGAAGUUUACUCGGUGUCUAUGCCUUUAAUUUGAUGAUGUUUGCCCAACCUAUCACCUCGGUUCAGUUAUCUCUACGAUGUUCUCAUUGAGGUGAAUGUAUAUGUGACAGGCGAAAGAGUACUUUGAGAAGGCUGAGGACAAUGAUGAACCAGGUGGCCAUUAUAACCUAGGAGUUAUGUACCUCAAAGGAAUUGGCGUAAAGAGAGACAUAAGGCUGGCUUGUCAGUACUUCAUAGUUGCUGCUAAUGCUGGUCAACCCAAGGCGUUUUAUCAGCUGGCCAAGAUGUUUCAUACUGGUGUUGGACUCAAGAAGAACCUGGCCAUGGUACGUAAUUUUUUAACCUUCUUUGGUAUCUUGGAUUUUGACUGCGUGAAGAUAUUCCAUCGUAAAUAGAAACAGAGGGUGCAUCUUGUUAGGAAUAGGAACCGUGCGCUAAACAUUGUUUGCUUUUAGGUUUUGUUUCAGUAUCGUGUAGGUUAGUUUUCAGAAUUUACAUCUGUGUAUGUGUGAACCAUUGGUUUUGUUAAAUCCACCUUGGCGAGCAUCAGAGGAUUUGCUUAGGAAUUGGUAAUUGUUUAUAACUUGCAUACCGUGACAAUAGGUUAAAUUGUCGCGAAUCAUUCUAGUUAAUUUUAGUAGUGAAUUGCAACAAAAAUUUGGCUGAUCAGGGUACACGUUUCCUGAUCAAAUGGCUUCCUUGAUUUUGAUGACUGCUUGAGGCCAUUCCAUCACAACAGAGGUGCAAAUUGUUUGCUGAUGGAUCUGUAUUUGUGCACAGGCUACUGCGUUAUAUAAACUGGUAGCAGAAAGAGGACCAUGGAGUUCCUUGUCCAGAUGGGCACUAGAAUCCUACCUUAAAGGCGACAUAGGCAAGGCGUUCCUAUUAUAUUCCAGAAUGGCCGAGAUGGGGUAUGAGAUAGCCCAAAGUAACGCCGCAUGGAUCCUCGACAAAUACGGAGAAAGAAGCAUGUGCGUAGGUGAAUCCGGGUUCUGUACCGAUGCAGAAAGGCAUCAGCGAGCACACUCGUUGUGGUGGCAAGCUUCAGAGCAGGGCAACGAACACGCUGCGUUACUCAUCGGUGAUGCAUAUUACUACGGUCGGGUAUGCAUUAAAUACUCCAGAUCCGAAAAAAUCACUUCUUUAAGCUUACUGAUUGCUAAUUUCGUUGUUUAGGGUACCGAAAGGGACUAUGAACGAGCGGCGGAAGCAUACAUGCAUGCAAAGUCUCAAUCCAACGCACAAGCCAUGUUCAACCUCGGUUACAUGCACGAGCAUGGGCAAGGUCUUCCGCUCGAUCUCCAUCUUGCUAAGCGUUACUACGAUCAAGCAUUAGAAGUCGAUCCGGCUGCUAAGUUACCCGUGACGCUCGCUCUGGCUAGCUUGUGGGUUCGAAAGAACCAUGCCGAUAGUUUCAUGGUUAGUUGUUGCGUCGUUUAGUGAGCUUUCUUCAUUCUCGUCAGCUGCUAUAGCCUAUAUGUGCUUAUCCGAAUUGUUUGUUGUUUAUGUUGUCCCAAUGUAGGUCGACAUGAUCGAUUCGUUGCCCGAAGUGUUCCCGAAAGUCGAAGCCUGGGUCGAAAACGUGAUCAUGGAAGAAGGAAACGCCACGAUAUUGACUCUCUUCGUCUGUCUUCUCACCGUCCUCUACCUUCGUGAACGACAACGCAGAAACGUUGCCGCUGCAGCUGGCGCCGGUGACGGCGCUGUACCGCCGCACCAACCGGUCGAGCCGGAUAGGAUUCACAACGGAGCGGAGGAGAACAAGGAAGCUCUGAGGAGGUUUAAAGGAGAGGAGGAUGAGGAUUUCCAGAUUCUGGAGUAUCAGGCUCAGAAGGGGAAUGCUGCAGCUAUGUACAAGAUUGGUCUGUUUUACUACUUUGGGUUGAGAGGAUUGAGGCGUGACUAUGUCAAGGCAUUGACUUGGUUCUCUAAGGCCGUGGAGAAAGGGGAGCCUAGAUCAAUGGAGCUUCUUGGUGAGAUUUACGCCCGGGGAGCUGGUGUUGAGAGGAACUAUACUAAAGCACUGAAAUGGCUUACUCUUGCUUCCAGACAGCAGCUUUACUCUGCGUAUAAUGGCAUGGGGUAUCUCUAUGUUAAAGGGUAUGGAGUGGACAAGAAGAACUACACCAAAGUAUGUUUACUUUCAAAAAAAAUUCAAGAUUUUGAAAAUUGAUAUAUUGGUCUUUUGUUACUUCUGGUUUGCUCACCUUGUUUUAUGAACUGCAUUUCUCGAGCUUCGAACAUGAUUCGCCAUGGUUUCUCUAUUGCGAGCUGGUGAUUCUACCAUUAGCUCCUUGUUUGAAGUUUACUCGGUGUCUAUGCCUUUAAUUUGAUGAUGUUUGCCCAACCUAUCACCUCGGUUCAGUUAUCUCUACGAUGUUCUCAUUGAGGUGAAUGUAUAUGUGACAGGCGAAAGAGUACUUUGAGAAGGCUGAGGACAAUGAUGAACCAGGUGGCCAUUAUAACCUAGGAGUUAUGUACCUCAAAGGAAUUGGCGUAAAGAGAGACAUAAGGCUGGCUUGUCAGUACUUCAUAGUUGCUGCUAAUGCUGGUCAACCCAAGGCGUUUUAUCAGCUGGCCAAGAUGUUUCAUACUGGUGUUGGACUCAAGAAGAACCUGGCCAUGG